AUGACAACAGUGGAUCUCAACAAUCUUGCGUAUGCAGACGAACCAUUCGUCCUAGCCAAUGAUGUGGCGCAGGUUUUUUAUGUGAAAGACAUGUCUACCAGACCAAGAAAAAGAAAAGAUAAGGAAGCGAAUGGAUCAUACGACGAGCCAAAGCGCCACAUAGUUCUUUCAGGAAAAAGAAACAUCGUGGGAGUGGAUGACAAGACAGACAUGUCAGAAGAUUAUGAAAAGUUUGAUGAAAUUGCUCCAUUCACAGUGAAUAUUGACCCGAGCAUCCAGUUAAAUGAUGAAGAUUUUCCAUGGCUACGGCGCAAAGGGACACACGAGAAGAAAAAGUUUCAUACCCAAAGAUCUGGGAUGUGA
rnacentral:rRNA from 1 species